GACUACUAUCUUGUAACCGAUUAGUAAUCCCGUCCCUGGAGUAUAUAAAGGAGGGUAGGGGUCCCUAAAUUGGUGGAACCACAAUAGAAGACCAAAUCUCAUACAACACCAAACAACACAUAAGCACAGGGCGUGAUAUACAACACCCCAAAUAGGACGUAGGAUAUUACGCUACUCUGACAGCUCGAACAUGUAUAAAUCUGUCAUGUGUCCUCGCUUUUACCAUCAACAGAAGACCAAACAGGACGUAGGGGUCCCUAAAUUGGCGGAACCGCAAUACAAGACCAAAUCCUCGUACAACACCAAACAACACCUAAGCGCAGGGUGUGAUAUACAACACCCCAAACAGGACAUAGGGUAUUACGCUACUCUGGCGGCUCGAACCUGUAUAAAUCUGUAUCUGUGUCCUUACUUUUACCAUCAAAUUUCAGGUCCGACGAUCCCCUACCAACUAAUCUACUACCUUAGGAUAUUUCUCAGUAGGUUACCGGGUAUAAAAUACCGAUAUCCU
rnacentral:lncRNA from 1 species